GGCACUUGUUGUAGGAUUUCAUUCAUUUGAACCAGGCAGGACAGAUCAUCCAUGGAGACAGAACACAGAUUGGGGCUUUCCAGGGGCUGAGGGGAGGGGAGAAUGGGAGUGACUGUGGCAGGGGUGUGAGGUUUCCUUUUAGGGUGAUGAAAAACUUCUGGAACUAGACAGUGAUGGUGACCAUUUAACACUGAGACCAUGCUUACUGCCUCUCCAUUGUAUGCUUCAAAGCCUUAUGUAAUGUAUAUUUUACUAUAUAUUUUUUUUUUUUUAAAUGACCACUGGUGGGUACAUGUCCCAGCUAAGUUUUUAAAACUGAGUGAAAACCCUGUGCUUGGCUGGGUUUGGGGCUCUUAUUUGGGUCCUGAGUGAUUCCAGGUUUUUUUUUUUUUUUUUUUUUGACAGGCAGAUUUAGACAGUGAGAGAGAGACAGAGAGAAAGGUCUUCCUUUCGUUGGUUCACCCCUUAAAUGGCUGCUACAGCCGGCAUGCCGCGCUGAUCUGAAGCCAGGAGCCAGGUGCCUCCUCCUGGUCUCUCAUGCAGGUGCAGGACCCAAGCACUUGGGCCAUCCUCCACUGCCCUCCUGGGCCACAACAGAGAGCUGGACUGGAAGAGAAGCAACCAGAACUAGAACCAGGUGCCCCAACCGGGACUAGAACCCGGGGUGCCGGCGCCACAGGUGGAGGAUUAGCCUAGUGAGCCGCGGCGCCGGCCUCCAGGGACUCUACUUCAUUUUCCAUUGCAGAGAGAGCAGAAUCACCAAAGGCCGCCUGUUCUGUCCAGUGUGCUCUGUGACCCUGACCAGCCUCAGGGGAGGCAGGCAGCAGAAAUUCUCCGCACUCGUCCCAGGCCAUGUGGCUGGAUGGACACAGCGCGGCUGCAAUGCUCUCGUUCUGCACGGUUUCCUGCACUGAUGCUUCAUGGGAGGAGCGCUGCGUGCACCGCUGUUUCCGGGAGGGGGAGGGGGAUGUGUUCCACAGCCCGGCCAGAGGCUUGGGAAGGAUCUGUGUGCCGCAAGCCUGUGGGCCGGCGGCUGCCUGUUCCGGUUUGGGAGAGGAAGUGGACACACGAGCCCAUCCGUUUGUCCUGAUCCCGGUAACAAGAUCUCCCCUUACCGCAGGAAUAGAAUAACAGCUUGUAAACCAAGAAGGACGCCAGCCCAGCUGUCAGAGUGCUGGUCAGGAAGCAACUGGUGGUGCUGAGGGAACAAGGAGUUGACCCUCAUCUUGUGCAGCCAUGGACCAUGGCUCUACCUGACUUGCAGGGAGGCAGCCUGAAGCCUGCUCCCAAAUCUUGUCCGGGUCUUCUCUCACUGGCCAAGAGAGCAAAGGUUGGUGGCAAAAAGGAACAGGCUGGAGCUCCUGGCUCCCGGCUUUGGCUUGGCACAACCCUGGCUGUUAUGGCCAUUUUGUGAGUGAACCAGCAAAUAGAGGAUCUUUCUCUUCCUUCUCCAAUCUUUCUUUGUCACUCUGCCUUUCACAUAAGUAAAUAAUAAAUCUUAAAAAUAAGAAUUCA
rnacentral:lncRNA from 1 species